CCUGAACCUCAGUGCUAGGAUUCUUCUCCGGGUACAGUUCUGAGGCGAGAGCGUGACUAACGGGAAAUCCCCAGCAAGCUCCAGCUGAAAGGCUACAGAGGUCUUGGACCCUGGGUUGGGGUUCCCUAUGGACUGCGCGGCCGCUGCGGGAAGCAAGCUGGGUCCCCCCAGAGCCUGCGGCAGGUGAGACCGCCCCUCCUCAGUCCAGUCCGAUAGACGCAAAGACACGAACCCUCUCCCCCUGGAAUGAGAACAGAAAUAUGGCUGCAGAAUAAACGCUCCUUUUAGCGGUACUUGCAGCUUCUGAAUCUGGGGAACUUUUAGGAUACCCGUAUCUCUUCAAAAGUCCAUCUCUACCCGUCUCUUCAAGUCGGGUUUUCUCUGGGU